GUCUUUACCUGGGGAGACGGAUACCACAAUCAGGAAGGUGGUUGUUCCCAGUGUUAGGUUCUUCAUUGCACACUUUGAUGGGGUUGAUCCUUGUGAUUUCCCUAUAUGUGUGAAACUCAACUGCAUAAUUUAUGGUAGUGGAGGACUGCAUAAACUUAUA